GCAAACUUGGUCAUUUAGAGGAAGUAAAAGUCGUAACAAGGUUUCCGUAGGUGAACCUGCGGAAGGAUCAUUAACGAGUUAGGGUCUCACAGGCCCGACCUCCCAACCCUAUGUUUAAUUACCUUCUGUUGCUUCGGCGGGCCCGUCCGUGAGGACCGCCGGGGGACCGUAAAACGUCCCCUGGCCCGCGCCCGUCGGUGGCCUCUCAACUAAAUUCUUGAAUAAUCAUGUUUCUUGUCUGAGUUCAAAUCUUGAAUUACAAGUAAAAACUUUCAACAACGGAUCUCUUGGUUCUGGCAUCGAUGAAGAACGCAGC
rnacentral:misc_RNA from 1 species